UACAGAGGUGGCAAGCGUUGUUCGGAAUUACUGGGCGUAAAGGGCGCGUAGGCGGCCUUCUUAGUCGGACGUGAAAUCCCCAGGCUUAACUUGGGAACUGCGUCCGAUACUGGGAGGCUUGAGUCCGGGAGAGGGAUGCGGAAUUCCAGGUGUAGCGGUGAAAUGCGUAGAUAUCUGGAGGAACACCGGUGGCGAAGGCGGCAUCCUGGACCGGUAUUGACGCUGAGGCGCGAAAGCCAGGGGAGCAAACGGG
rnacentral:rRNA from 1 species